AUGACCAUACCCUCGAAAUCACUUCUAUCUUUGCUUGCUAGUUGUUCGCUCUAUUGCUUUGCCGCGAUACCUACCACUUGCUAUAACAUGCCUCCCAUAUUGCCAUGUCAAGCCUCUAACCCACCUUUCCUAGCAAACCGUUGUUUGGCUAUGUUACCUCUUUGCUCAGCCCUUCUUAUAGCGUUGCUAGUUGCAGGUGAAGAUGAAGUUUGUUCCAUGUUGGAACAUGGAUAUGUUGGGAUAUCAAAAUAUCUCUUAUUUAAUUUAAUGCAUCUAUAUACUUGGUUAAGGGUGGAAGGCUCGGCUUUAUGCCUGGUGUUUUGUUCCACUCUUGCCGCCCUAGUUUUCCGUCAUACCGGUGUUAUGCUUCUUGAUUUUGCGUUCCUUACACGGUUGGGUGUUAUGGGGACCCCUUGA
rnacentral:rRNA from 1 species